rnacentral:misc_RNA from 1 species
GUUAAGGAGGCCGGGUUUUGCAAGCUGUAUGUAGACCUAUGCGUGACGUCCAGGUCUAGAUUAUCCAUUAUUACGCCACAGUUGACAGUCAGCAUGAGAGGAUCCAUUUCAUCAAUCCUCAAAGCUCUUCUUUUGCCUGCCCACCAUACUUCUUCAAGAGCGUCUUGAUCAUACUGACAGCUCCGUACCGAUAAUGACCACCGAAC